UACGUAGGGGGCAAGCGUUGUCCGGAUUUAUUGGGCGUAAAGAGCGUGUAGGCGGUUUGGUAGGUCUGGUGUGAAAACUCGAGGCUUAACCUCGAGAUGUCAUCGGAAACCAUCUGGCUAGAGUCCGGAAGAGGAGAGUGGAAUUCCUGGUGUAGCGGUGAAAUGCGCAGAUAUCAGGAAGAACACCAAUGGCGAAAGCAGCUCUCUGGGACGGUACUGACGCUGAGACGCGAAAGCGUGGGGAGCGAACAGG
rnacentral:rRNA from 1 species